CCUACGGGCGGCUGCAGUGGGGAAUAUUGGACAAUGGGGGCAACCCUGAUCCAGCCAUGCCGCGUGUGUGAAGAAGGCCCUCGGGUUGUAAAGCACUUUCAGUGAGGAAGAACGCCUGGUGGUUAAUACCCAUCAGGAAAGACAUCACUCACAGAAGAAGCACCGGCUAACUCCGUGCCAGCAGCCGCGGUAAUACGGAGGGUGCGAGCGUUAAUCGGAAUUACUGGGCGUAAAGCGCGCGUAGGUGGCUUGAUAAGCCGGUUGUGAAAGCCCCGGGCUCAACCUGGGAACGGCAUCCGGAACUGUCAAGCUAGAGUGCAGGAGAGGAAGGUAGAAUUCCCGGUGUAGCGGUGAAAUGCGUAGAGAUCGGGAGGAAUACCAGUGGCGAAGGCGGCCUUCUGGACUGACACUGCCACUGAGGUGCGAAAGCGUGGGUAGCAAACAGGAUUAGAUACCCGGGUAGUC
rnacentral:rRNA from 1 species